rnacentral:sRNA from 1 species
AAUAUCUCUUUGUUUCUUCUAUUCUCUUUAUAUUAAUCAUGUUCAUGCAAAGCAAAGGGUUUUUGCCAAUUGCAGUCAUGUGGCUGUAAUUAACUUAUAAAUAGGUAUAUUUAAAUGUCUAAUAAAACAGGUUUAGUUAAGUGGUUUGAUGAAGGUAAAGGUUUCGGUUUCAUCACCCCUGAUGAUGGUAGUAAAGAUUUAUUUGUCCAUUUCUCAGCAUUGAUUGGUGAUGGAUUUAAAACAUUGUUCGAAGGACAGAAAGUACAGUUUGUUGUUGGUAAUGGACCUAAAGGCCCAACUGCGAAUAGUGUUAUAACUUUGUAGUUUGUAAGCACUAUACAUAAAGCCUGACUAUACGUCGGGC